UGACGUAUGGGUUAGUUGGUCAGAUCACCUGGACGGUUUCCAAGAGGCGCGGGUUCAAAUCUCGCUGCGAUCAA
rnacentral:tRNA from 1 species